rnacentral:rRNA from 1 species
UAAUACGUAGGGGGCGAGCGUUGUCCGGAAUUAUUGGGCGUAAAGAGCGUGUAGGCGGUCUGGUAAGUCUGCCGUGAAAACCUGGGGCUCAACCCCGGGCGUGCGGUGGAUACUGCCAGGCUAGAGGAUGGUAGAGGCGAGUGGAAUUCCCAGUGUAGCGGUGAAAUGCGCAGAUAUUGGGAGGAACACCAGUAGCGAAGGCGGCUCGCUGGGCCAUACCUGACGCUGAGACGCGAAAGCGUGGGGAGCGAACAGGAUUAGAUACCCUGGUAGUCCACGCCGUAAACGAUGGACACUAGGUGUUGGGGGAGUCGAAUCCCUCGGUGCCGAAGUUAACGCGUUAAGUGUCCCGCCUGGGGAGUACGGCCGCAAGGCUA